GUCUGUUUAUACUGUUUGCGUUAAUGCGUUAAUACGUCUCCAGACCUCCAGAUAACCUGCAGCGUUACUUAAAAUACUAAAUCAAUUUGAAAACAAGUAUAGUUGGAAGAACUUUGAAAGUAUAACGUCACUGUGUGUAUGUAAGUGUGAGUAAUGCAGCUUUAAGCAGGUUUGGAUCACACGUGUUUUACAGAUAU